rnacentral:rRNA from 1 species
AACGAACGCUGGCGGCAUGCCUAACACAUGCAAGUCGAACGAGACCUUCGGGUCUGGUGGCGCACGGGUGCGUAACGCGUGGGAACCUGCCCUUAGGUUCGGAAUAACUCCCCGAAAGGGGUGCUAAUACCGGAUAAUGUCUUCGGACCAAAGAUUUUUCGCCUUUGGAUGGGCCCGCGUUGGAUUAGCUAGUUGGUAGGGUAAAAGCCUACCAAGGCGACGAUCCAUAGCUGGUCUGAGCGGAUGAUCAGCCACACUGGGACUGAGACACGGCCCAGACUCCUACGGGAGGCAGCAGUGGGUAAUAUUGGACAAGGGGCGAAAGCCUGGUCCAGCAAUGCCGCGUGAGUGAUGAAGGCCGUAGGGUUGUAAAGCUCUUUUACCCGGGAUGAUAAUGACAGUACCGGGAGAAUAAGCUCCGGCUAACUCCGUG